GUCAACAGCUCUGAGUCCACCCUGUCAACAGCCCUGCUCUGAGUCCACCCUGUCAACAGCCCUGCUCUGAGUCCACCCUGUCAACAGCCCUGAGUCCACCCUGUCAACAGCUCUGAGUCCACCCUGUCAACAGCCCUGAGUCCACCCUGUCAACAGCCCUGAGUCCACCCUGUCAACAGCCCUGAGUCCACCCUGUCAACAGCCCUGCUCUGAGUCCACCCUGUCAACAGCCCUGCUCUGAGUCCACCCUGUCAACAGCUCUGAGUCCACCCUGUCAACAGCUCUGAGUCCACCCUGUCAACAGCCCUGAGUCCACCCUGUCAACAGCUCUGAGUCCACCCUGUCAACAGCUCUGAGUCCACCCUGUCAACAGCCCUGAGUCCACCCUGUCAACAGCUCUGAGUCCACCCUGUCAACAGCCCUGAGUCCACCCUGUCAACAGCCCUGAGUCCACCCUGUCAACAGCUCUGAGUCCACCCUGUCAACAGCUCUGAGUCCACCCUCUCAACAGCUCUCUGAGUCCACCCUGUCAACAGCUCUGAGUCCACCCUGUCAACAGCCCUGAAUCCACCCUGUCAACAGCUCUGAGUCCACCCUGUCAACAGCUCUGAGUCCACCCUGUCAACAGCCCUGAGUCCACCCUGUCAACAGCCCUGAAUCCACCCUGUCAUAGACUGGACUGUCUGUCUGAACCUUCAGGUCACGCGAUUGGCCAAAUGGACUUGGACAUAAAAGGAUAAAACCAGCACAGACGCCCUUUGCAGUUCAAUUCAUGGCCAAAGCCGAGCGAAGGUUGCAAAGGGACUGUAACAAUAACGUGACACAGUACGGGCGUUAACCCAGGGACGCCAUCACGUCACCGACCACACCAUCUGCUCUACAUCACUACACCGAUGGUUAACUAUGUUGUGAGGGUUGGAGAGAAUUAGAUUUACAUGACGUUUAAAACUAAAAAGGCUUAUAAAGGGGAUAAAACACGUGUGGCCUAGUAACAACUCAUUUACAUGCCUCAUCCAACAGCCAAUCACGAAAAAAGCCAAAAUGGCACCUGGUAUACAAGCCAGAAAUGCAGAAGAAGAGUUGUGUACAUUUUCACUUCCUCUGUUCUGGAUAUAUCUGAUAAACAACACCUAACCAACAUCUCUAACACAACUUUCAACCAAACGACCUAUUCCCACGGCUUUGGUCAGCUUUGUACAUCUUCACCACUACUGAGUGGCCAUGCCGGCUCCGACUGACUCACUGAGCAGCCUGGCUCUUUGACUCACAGAUCCAACAUGGCCGCCCGGGACAGCAGUUGCAAGACCAAGCAUGUCAGGUUUAGGGAUGAGUGAUCUGGGUCAGGACAGGUCAGGUGAUGCCCCUAGGUCAUGAGGGAUGAGUGAUCUGGGUCAGGACAGGUCAGGUGAUGCCCCUAGGUCAUGAGGGAUGAGUGAUCUGGGUCAGGACAGGUCAGGUGAUGCCCCUAGGUCAUGAGGGAUGAGUGAUCUGGGUCAGGACGGGUCAGGUGAUGCCCCUAGGUCAUGAGGGAUGAGUGAUCUGGGUCAGGACGGGUCAGGUGAUGCCCCUAGGUCAUGAGGGAUGAGUGAUCUGGGUCAGAACGGGUCAGGUGAUGCCCCUAGGUCUUGAGGGAUGAGUGAUCUGGGUCAGGACGGGUCAGGUGAUGUCCCUAGGUCUUGAGGGAUGAGUGAUCUGGGUCAGGACGGGUCAGGUGAUGCCCCUAGGUCUUGAGGGAUGAGUGAUCUGGGUCAGGAGUGGUCAGGAGGAGUCAGGUGAUGACCCCUAGGUCAUGAGGGAUGUGUGAUCUGGGUCAGGAGGGGUCAGGACGGAUUCAGGAUGGGGUCAGGCCCCUAGGUCAUGAGGGAUGAGUGAUCUGGGUCAGGAGGGGUCAGGCUCCUAGGUCAUGAGGGAUGAGUGAUCUGGGUCAGGAGGGGUCAGGACGGGGUCAGGCCCCUAGGUCUUGAAAUUAAGUCAAUAACCCAAGAAGAAGAAUACGAGGAACAGAAGUCUUUUUUUUUGCUUUCUUGAUGAA